rnacentral:rRNA from 1 species
GAUAAACGCUGGCGGCGUGCUUUAUGCAUGCAAGUCGAACGGUCCCGAUUUAUCGGGAUAGUGGCGGAUGGGUGAGUAACGCGUAAGUAACCUGUCCCUAAAAGGAGGAUAACUCUGAGAAAUCGGAGCUAAUACUGCAUGUGGUGAUGGGGGUAAGGCUUCAUCACUAAAGCCUUCGGGUGUUUGGGGAGGGGCUUGCGUCCGAUUAGCUAGUUGGUAAGGUAAUGGCCUACCAAGGCAACGAUCGGUAGCUGAUUUGAGAGGAUGGUCAGCCACACUGGGACUGAGACACGGCCCAGACUCCUACGGGAGGCAGCAGCAAGGAAUAUUGUGCAAUGGGCGAAAGCCUGACACAGCGACGCCGCGUGGGGGAAGAAGGCCUUCGGGUCGUAAACCUCUUUUCUCAGGGAAGAAAAAUGACGGUACCUGAGGAAUAAGUCUCGGCUAACUACGUGCCAGCAGCCGCGGUAAUACGUAGGAGGCGAGCGUUAUCCGGAUUUAUUGGGCGUAAAGAGGGCGUAGGUGGCUCUUCAAGUCGGAUGUAAAAUCUCCCGGCUCAACCGGGAGGGACCAUUCGAUACUGCUGGGCUAGAGUGCAGCAGGGGGAGGUGGAAUUCCCGGUGUAGUGGUGAAAUGCGUAGAUAUCGGGGGGAACACCAGUGGCGAAGGCGGCCUCCUGGGCUGCUACUGACGCUGAGGCCCGAAAGCGUGGGGAGCGAACAGGAUUAGAUACCCUGGUAGUCCACGCUGUAAACGAUGGACACUAGGUAUGGGGAGUAUCGACCCUUUCCGUGCCGAAGCUAACGCAUUAAGUGUCCCGCCUGGGGAGUACGGUCGCAAGACUAAAACUCAAAGGAAUUGACGGGGGCCC